AGGAAUAUUGCACAAUGGGCGCAAGCCUGAUGCAGCGACGCCGCGUGUGGGAUGAAGGGGCUACGCCUCGUAAACCACUGUAGCCCGGGACGAAAAACGCCUUAGAGGCUUUAGACGGUACCGGGAAAGUAAGGGUCGGCUAACUACGUGCCAGCAGCCGCGGUAAUACGUAGGACCCAAGCGUUGUCCGGAUUUACUGGGUGUAAAGGGUGCGCAGGCGGAUGGGUAAGUCAGGGGUGAAAGUCUGCAGCUUAACUGUAGAAUUGCCUUUGAUACUGCUCAUCUUGAGUGUGGGAGAGGUUGAUGGAAUUCCAGGUGUAGCAGUGAAAUGCGUAGAUAUCUGGAAGAACACCAGUGGCGAAGGCGGUCAACUGGCCCAUAACUGACGCUCAUGCACGAAAGCGUGGGGAGCAAACA
rnacentral:rRNA from 1 species